CUCGUCUCUUCUCUUUCUCACUGUUUUUCUUUCUCUUAUUUGCAGUGAAGAGCAUCAUAAGUAAAAGAAUUUGGAACUAGGCAGCUCCAAAGCUCCUAAGAAACUUCUUUAACAUUGGGGGAAGAUAAUGUGGGCCGUGAUCAAAAGCUUGGUAUGAAAAUCAGACUCGACUAGGACAGGUGGUGGCACGAACAUCGCUCCGGGACAGGUCCAGCCCAACACCAGAACCCUGCAGGGACCACCAUGCAGAGUGGGAGGAAUGCUGAGUGCCUCCGGGCCUUUGACUCACUUGCUCGAGAGGCAGAGAAGCAAAAAGAAAAGCCUGAGUUCUGACCACAGCACAGGAGAAAAGGAGGGCUGAGUUCGGCUCGAUUCAGUAGGAGAACGCUGAAGACUGUCCUUCCCUGGGACUGAGGGGUCUCCCCAGAGCGGAAGGGCAAUGCUGAAAGAGAGACAGCCUAAGGGAAGAGGUAGAUGUCGAGUAGAGCUAAGGACAGACUGAGUAGUUCUGAAACACGCCAGAAGAAGGAAAGAAAGAGACAGGAAAGACAGACAGAAAGAAGAAAGGAAGGAAGGAAGGAAGGAAGGAAGGAAGGAAGGAAGGAAGGAAGAAAGAAAGGAAAGAGAGAUAGAGAGAGGGAGGGAGGGAGGAAGUUAACUAGAUAUUUAGUCCUGAAGCUCUGAGAGAUCUGGGCCACUCGUAUUAAUUUGAAAGCACCUGGCAUAUGGGUGCUAAGUGGCACAAUGAGCGUGAAUAACAUCGGUUAGGACAAUUUGAAAACUGAGAAGAUGGGACAUUGCGGGACUGGGCCUAGGAAGUGUUGACAUUUAAGGGCCAGGAAGAGGGUGAAUCUAUGAAACACAAGGGAACUGACCAGAUGUGCUGAAAACCAAGAGCUGCUCAGGCACAGACAUCAAGGGAAGACUUUUGGGAAACAGGAAGUGAAGGGUGCAGGGAGGGGGAGUCAAGUUAAGAGUAAAAUUAUCUCAGGAAUGUGCCAGGUGGAGGGCUGGUGACUUGCAGUAGAGCUGCUUCCAUGGAGCGAUGGCCAAAGCCCGGCCACUGAGGGGUGAGCAGAGUGACGGGUGGGGAACUGUAGACGGCUGGCAGCGCCAGCAAGUACCUGGAGCAGCUCAUCUGCAGCGAGACCGUGCAGUGCCUGGAGGCCCGGAGGGUUUGUUCUGUUUUGCUUGCACUGAAGUCUAUGACGUUUGGAAUCCAAAGGAAGAGUAUGGAAGGCCAGACCGGACACACCCAGG
rnacentral:lncRNA from 1 species